GGUCUUAUCUUUUGGUGCCUUCUAGGAGGAGGAAUUUUCGGCAGUGAUCGCGUGAUUGGAUCAUAAUGGAAAUUCAGCAAAUGAUUAGCACUCACAGCCUGGUAUCUUCUAGAAGCUGACUGGGUAGCAUUAACAUGAAUACCAGUAGAUCCAGAUGCAGUGUGAUUAGAAUGCAUGGAAUUUGCCAUUCCAGAUGUUUCUCCAUGGGUCUGCACAGGUGCAAAUUGACCUGACUUCAAUUGAGAAGAAACCCCUUCUUG
rnacentral:misc_RNA from 1 species